GAUGAACGCUGGCGGCGUGCCUAAUACAUGCAAGUCGAGCGAACGGACGAGAAGCUUGCUUUUCUGAUGUUAGCGGCGGACGGGUGAGUAACACGUGGAUAACCUACCUAUAAGACUGGGAUAACUUCGGGAAACCGGAGCUAAUACCGGAUAAUAUUUUGAACCGCAUGGUUCAUAAGUGAAAGACGGUCUUGCUGUCACUUAUAGAUGGAUCCGCGCUGCAUUAGCUAGUUGGUAAGGUAACGGCUUACCAAGGCAACGAUGCAUGGCCGACCUGAGAGGGUGAUCGGCCACACUGGAACUGAGACACGGUCCAGACUCCUACGGGAGGCAGCAGUAGGGAAUCUUCCGCAAUGGGCGAAAGCCUGACGGAGCAACGCCGCGUGAGUGAUGAAGGUCUUCGGAUCGUAAAACUCUGUUAUUAGGGAAGAACAUAUGUGUAAGUAACUGUGCACAUCUUGACGGUACCUAAUCAGAAAGCCACGGCUAACUACGUG
rnacentral:rRNA from 1 species